rnacentral:rRNA from 1 species
AUGAAACAAAGACCUAUAGGUUUGCCCCUCUCUCGCCAUGAGGGAAGGCUGAAAGGUAAGCCAGUCCUUGCUGGCACACAAAUGGCUGCACCCGGAGAAUUGGCAGAGAAAGCCCAUUUGACGGUACUGCUUAACAACCCAGUUCUCAUCGCUUAUGCCGAAGAACACUUGGCGGAGAUACGCCAUAGUUUCUUACCAAUGGUGCCUUCAUCAGAGGUGGAGAUGAAGGAGCACACUAAGAACUAUGCCGAAUGGCUGAAGAAUCGUUUGGCACAAGGAUCCAUCGAUGACAUUGCUACAUGGUUGGCACAAAAGCCAUCACCUACGGUGCUGACGUACCAAGCAUAUGACAUAAAUGGAUACACGCUCUACACUGAGGAACGUGAUAAGAAGACCUCGUAUCAGAACAACUCUGUUCGAAUAGAAUGCAUGACUGUAAAUGAAGCUGAUAAAAGGGUAUACUAUGGAACCAUCAAAGAGAUUUGGGAGCUUGACUAUGUGAAAGUUAAGGUGGCAUUAUUCAGGUGCGCAUGGAUCCCUCUUGGUCAGGUAAGGAUUGAUGAGUACAGGAUGACCUGUAUUAACAGGACAACAAUGGCAUAUCACGCAGACCCAUUCAUUCUUGCCAGCGAUGCUACCCAGAUUUUCUUUGUGGAAGACCCCUUGCAUAAGAGCGUCCAUUUAGCGAUGCAUGGGAAGAGAAGGGUACUGGGUGUCGACGAUGUUGCCGGUCAAGACGAGUAUGAUGAGUUUGAUGAGUUGCCAGCCAAGGGAUCACGCACCAGUGCAAUAGAGAAGAAGUUUAAAAUCAUCAAAAACCCCAAGUUCAUUCGGGGUCAACUUAAUGAUCCCAGUUCCCACAUGUACAUGUGA